rnacentral:rRNA from 1 species
GAUGAACGCUGGCGGCGUGCCUAAUACAUGCAAGUCGAGCGAACAGACGAGGAGCUCGCUCCUCUGACGUUAGCGGCGGACGGGUGAGUAACACGUGGAUAACCUACCUAUAAGACUGGGAUAACUUCGGGAAACCGGAGCUAAUACCGGAUAAUAUAUUGAACCGCAUGGUUCAAUAGUGAAAGACGGGUUUGCUGUCACUUAUAGAUGGAUCCGCGCCGCAUUAGCUAGUUGGUAAGGUAACGGCUUACCAAGGCGACGAUGCGUAGCCGACCUGAGAGAGUGUGCGGCGACACUGCGACUGAGACACGGUCCAGACUCCUACGGGAGGCAGCAGUAGGGAAUCUUCCGCAAUGGGCGAAAGCCUGACGGAGCAACGCCGCGUGGGUGAUGAAGGUCUUCGGGUCGUAAAACUCUGUUAUUAGGGAAGAACAAAUGUGUAAGUAACUAUGCACGUCUUGACGGUACCUAAUCAGAAAGCCACGGCUAACUACGUG